GCUAGGGUAGCAAAGUAGUUAAUGCUGAGUAUCUAAGAUCCUCGACCGAAAGUUCAAAUCUUUCCCCUAACA
rnacentral:tRNA from 1 species